ACACUAUAAGUAUAGAAAUAUACCUAACUUCCAAUUAGGAGACCGAGGUUAUAACCCACGAUAGUGUA
rnacentral:tRNA from 1 species